AGGAUCAACGCUGGCGGCGUGCCUAACACAUGCAAGUCGAACGAGAAAGUGGAGCAAUCCAUGAGUAAAGUGGCGCACGGGUGAGUAACACGUGACUAACCUACCCUUGAGUGGGGGAUAAACCUAGAGAAAUCUGGGCUAAUACCGCAUAAUACCUUCGGGUCAAAGGAGCAAUUCGCUUAAGGAGGGGGUCGCGGCCGAUUAGUUAGUUGGCGGGGUAAUGGCCCACCAAGACUGUGAUCGGUA
rnacentral:rRNA from 1 species